GAGGUUAUAGCUCACUGGUAGAGUGCAUGCCUAGCAUGCAUGAGGUCCUGGGUUCUGUCCCCAGUACUGCCA
rnacentral:tRNA from 1 species